rnacentral:rRNA from 1 species
GAUAUACGCUAGCGGCAGGCUUAACACAUGCGAGUCGAGGGGCAGCAUAGAUUGUAGCAAUACAAUUGGUGGCGACCGGCGCACGGGUGCGUAACGCGUAUGCAACCUACCCGUCACAGGGGGAUAAUCCGGAGAAAUCUGGUCUAAUACCCCAUAACAUAUGGAUCGGCAUCGGUUCAUGUUGAAAUUUUCGGAGGUGACGGAUGGGCAUGCGUAGCAUUAGCUUGUUGGUGAGGUAACGGCUCACCAAGGCGACGAUGCUUAGGGGGACUGAGAGGUUUUCCCCCCACACUGGUACUGAGACACGGACCAGACUCCUACGGGAGGCAGCAGUGCGGAAUAUUGGUCAAUGGGCGCAAGCCUGAACCAGCCAUGCCGCGUGCAGGAUGACGGCUCUAUGAGUUGUAAACUGCUUUUGUACGAGGGUAAAGUGGGUUACGUGUAACCUUUUGAAAGUAUCGUACGAAUAAGGAUCGGCUAACUCCGUGCCAGCAGCCGCGGUAA